rnacentral:lncRNA from 1 species
AAGCUUCCUUUACGCAUGUUAAAAAAAAUAUUUUCAUAUAAUGGACCUAUUACAUAUAUAUUCAAAUAAAUUUUUCAAUAGUGUUUAUUCUAAGAUACUUUUCAUUGUACUUACAAGUCCAGUAUUAGUUCUUAUUUCAUUGAAGAUCGUCUUGUACUUUUUUUCAAUACCCAAGGAUACCCACAAAUGAAUAUGGAAUCGGAAGAGAGGAUGAAGUGUUUAUAAUUACAUAAAACAUACAACCUUAAAUAUGAAUUCAGUGUCAUAGAUAUGAGUUGUUUGUUUAUUAUGUACAAUGUAUCUCAAUGACAUUUAAGUACUCGAAUCAAUGAAAGAGUUUUUCUAAUAAUAUUAAGAAAUAAAAUAGAGAAGAAUUUGGAAGGAGUUUCAUUGGAAGAACUGAAGAUGAAGGAUGGUAAGUCUCUUUGUUCCUCACUGCACAUUCCAUUCGAGUAUUAUUUAUCUUUAUAAAGAAUAUCCUCAAUUCUUAGAGAAGUUUACAAUGAUUACAUAAUAUCUAGAGUGACGGCUGUGUAUUUGAACCAAUAGAUGAUGAAGUAACAGAUUUUGAUGUGAAAGGGUAUAUGCAUUAUGAAUGAUACUUCCAUCAAAUUAUAUGCCAUCCACCGAGUCAGGCACAAAAACAUUUUCUAAAUAGAUGAGAUCCCUUAAUAUCAUGGAUAUCCCAAUGUCAUAAAGUCAUAUGAAUCGAAUAGAAAUAUGAGGGGACUCAGAUCCAUAAAUCUGGAUAUUCCGAGAAAAUAAUCCAUCCAAAUCAUCCUUAUUGUCUUAAUUAAUGUGAUGUAUAAAUCACUAUUCUGACUAAAGUUUAUGUCACAAACUGUUUUCACAAGAAAGUGUUAAUCAUUUUGGUUAUUCUUUUAUCACCCAUGAAGUAUUUUGAAUGUAGCAAGUUUCGUGGAGCUUCACAUUCUCUCUUGUUUAGAUAUUAUUGAUCUAUUAAAUAUUAUCAAUCUAUAUUCAAAAAAGGACCAUUGAUAAGUAUGAGUCAAGAGUGUUUAAUUGAGAAUUGUUUGGAAAUUUACAAAAAAAAAAAAAAAAUAUGAAAAUAUCUUUUCAUUGCACGAGAAAUCAGAGGACGCUGAUUAACUUAGUAUUUAUAUUUUUAUAAGAAAAAUUAGUAAUUUUGUAAGAGAAAAUACUUUGAUUUAGGAGAAGAUAUUGUAAAAAAAAUACUUGAAUUUAUUGAAAAGGAGGGUUUUUUCAAAAGGAUCUACUGCAGUAGAGAUGGACUCAAGGAUAAUAAUAAUAAAAAUUAAGAAUAAAUGAGUACUAAAUUGUGAGUAAGCUCUUCAGUGAAUGAACCUUUACUCUGCUCCUUUCAUAAGCACACACAAAUGUUCAAUUCGACUCCGUUUCUCAUCAAUUAUGUAUAGGCUGAACAGCUUGUCCAAUAUUAAAAUAAGUUGAAAUCGACACAGAAUUGAUGACUAGUAGUUUUUCCUAUGAUGGUAUUCCUCUAAACUAAGACAUGAAGAGAGUUGAUCCUAUCGAUCAACAAACUGCAGUUUAUCUAUCGGAUCACAAGUCAUCGACACGUUUUUAUUCAAUAAUUUUCGUUAAUAUCAUUUAUAAUGUGAGGUUUAAUUGCUAUAUAUCGUAAAAUUGUUAAUAAUUAUAAAUUAUUUCUUUUUAAUUGGAAAAUUGUUAUUAACAAGAAUUGGAUUCAAUAUUAUGAAGAAAACACCGAAAAUAACUUCCAUUUUCAUCGUCGAGACCAACAAAAUAAUAAAUUCGUUAGUUAUAUUUAUUCUCACCAGAGUUUGAUAAAAACAUUAAUUUACUGUACUAGUAAAAAAUAGAUCUUAUCUCAAUUUGAUA